GCCCCUCCCCCAUAGCUGUGCCUUCCAGGCCAGUGGUCACCGCUCUCCGCCGGUGGCUUUGGGUCCCACCGCUACCGUGGAGUCCUUGUGGCUCCUUGUUUACCUAACGUAGUGAAUGCAGUUAGCCCAGGUGGCCAGCCCAACCCUCCACCAGGGUCAUUCCCGCCUACUAAGAUUGCCGGGACCGCUAGCCCUCCAGCUUCCUCCUUCACCAGAUUUUCAGCUACUGAUGUUACAAACAAAAUAUUGCAGCAUAGAGUUGAGGAAAAGACUUAAACCAGAUUUUUCUUUAGUCAGUUAAAAAUAUGGAUCCUGAGUCAGAGGGACCACAGAUUAUCAAAGUGACACCCCUUCAACAAAUGUUUGCCUCUUGUACUGGAGCUAUCCUGACAUCACUAAUGGUGACUCCUCUGGAUGUCGUUAAAAUUCGACUGCAAGCGCAAAGGAACCCAUUCUCCAAAGGAAAAUGUUUUGUAUAUAGUAAUGGACUUAUGGAUCAUCUAUGUGUUUGUGAAGAGGAAGGCAACAGAGCAUGGUAUAAGAAGCCAGGACGAUUCCAGGGUACAUUGGAUGCCUUUUUGAAAAUCAUUCGAAAUGAGGGCAUUAAAUCCCUGUGGAGUGGCCUUCCCCCUACUUUAGUGAUGGCAGUUCCUGCCACAGUCAUUUAUUUUACCUGCUAUGAUCAAUUAACUUAUUUUCUGAAAUCAAAAUUAGGAGAAAAUGAAAGUCAUAUACCAAUUGUUGCUGGAAUUGUUGCUAGAUUUGGUGCAGUAACUGUGAUAAGUCCAUUAGAAUUGAUUAGAACCAAGAUGCAAUCUAAGAAGUUUUCUUAUGAAGAAUUACAUCGAUUUAUCAGCAGGAAAGUGUCUGAAGAUGGUUGGAUUUCCCUUUGGAGGGGCUGGGCUCCUACUGUUCUUAGAGAUGUACCAUUCUCAGCACUGUACUGGUAUAACUAUGAAGUUUUAAAGAAGUGGCUGUGUGAGAAAUCUGGUUUAUAUAAACCAACAUUUAUGAUCCACUUUACUUCAGGGGCAUUGUCUGGUUCUAUUGCAGCUAUUGCAACUUUGCCAUUUGAUGUGGUAAAAACACAAAAGCAGACACAACUUUGGAUAGAUGAAUGUCAUAAAAUUUCUAUGCCUUUGCAUAUGUCAACGUGGACUAUCAUGAAGAACAUUGUUGCUAAGAAUGGGUUUGCAGGAUUAUUUACAGGCCUCAUUCCCCGUUUAAUUAAAAUUGCUCCUGCUUGUGCCAUUAUGAUCAGUACCUAUGAAUCUGGGAAGGCUUUUUUCCAGAUGCAAAAUGCCAGAAGACAACAAUACCAGUGAUGCUGUUUCAACCAACAACCAAAGCCAAAUAAUAAGUUGGAGAUUCUUAGGCUUCACCAGUGUUAGGAUUUCUUCACUCAAAGGUAUGGCUAUUUUAUCUUUAUGAAUCAAAAUAUAACUGUUUAUGUGAUACAGUGAUAUUUUUGAUGAUUAAAGACUAUUAUUCACUGUUUCUGCAAAAGAGGAGUCGUCUUUCUGAUGGUGUUAAAUGUUUGGCACAGUGGCUCUUGGCUGAGCAGAAAACCACAUUACAUUUACAUUAGUAAAAUUUAUGUUUCAGCCUAGGAAGGGCCUCUGGUUUCAGCCAUCUUGUAAUUCAGAUAUCACUGUUUGUGGAGUUCUCUAGGUCGCUUGUACUGGCUUCUUCUAACACAAUAGAGAUUACUAAUAUAGUAUAAGACACAAAAUAUUUCCAAAAUGUCCCUCAAUUUUACACAUCUUCAUGUUAGUAUGCUAGAUCAAGAGACUAAAGAGGCAGCAGUUUCCUUGAAGAAAUAGCUUUCAGUCACUGUAGGCUAACGCCUCAGUAAUGUUGCUUAUGACUGCAGGAAUGAGACAGGGAAGGGUUACGAAGACAGGACAAAAGUGAUACCCUUUUUUUGUUUUUGUUUCAUUUUCCCAGGAUCUGUAUCCUAUAAGAAAAAGCACUUUAUUGCAGUCUACAUAUAUGCUAGAAAUGUGAAGUAUUUUUUGUUCUAAAAUAGAGUAAUAUGUUCAGGUGACAGACCUCUAGUGUUUGUAGAGGAACUAAUGUACUUUGUAUUAUAGAAAAGAGUUUAUCUAUUUCACCAGAACAGAUCGUGUGUGUAUGUAGUCUUUUGUGUUUGCUUUACCCUCUAUUGAUUUACCUUAAAAUUGCAGUAUCUAUAAAAUCAUAAAUAUUUAUGACUUUGACAUUUUCAUUAAAAUAUUUUGAUUUCUUAAAAGUA